rnacentral:rRNA from 1 species
GAUGAACGCUGGCGGCGUGCCUAAUACAUGCAAGUCGAGCGAACAGACGAGGAGCUUGCUCUUCUGACGUUAGCGGCGGACGGGUGAGUAACACGUGGAUAACCUACCUAUAAGACUGGGAUAACUUCGGGAAACCGGAGCUAAUACCGGAUAAUAGAUGGAACCGCAUGGUUCAAUAGUGAAAGACGGUUUUGCUGUCACUUAUAGAUGGAUCCGCGCCGCAUUAGCUAGUUGGUAAGGUACCGGCUUACCAAGGCGCCGAUGCGUAGCCGACCUGAGAGGGUGAUCGGCCACCCUGGAACUGAGACACGGUCCAGACUCCUACGGGAGGCAGCAGUAGGGAAUCUUCCGCAAUGGGCGAAAGCCUGACGGAGCAACGCCGCGUGAGUGAUGAAGGUCUUCGGAUCGUAAAACUCUGUUAUUAGGGAAGAACAAAUGUGUAAGUAACUAUGCACGUCUUGACGGUACCUAAUCAGAAAGCCACGGCUAACUACGUG